GUCCAUUGCACCUCUUAGUGCUGGAUGGUGAGCUUUAAGGCUGGGAUACGCUGGUGAUCUCGUCGUGCGCGCUUUCCCUUGGAGAUCUCCGACUACGCGCCAGCGUAGUUUGAAUGUGCGCAUUCAACCCACUCGAACACUCGAACGUUUUUGAUCCGCGUUUUUUAAUUGCGCGAGAGCCUGACUCGAAGGUGUUCUCCAAGCCUUCGAUGCGUCUCCGCAUCCCGCUCAACCUCCGCCGACGGGCGCCUGAAUGACGUGUAUUAUCGUUACGGUACGUCGCUCAAUAAUAUACCUAACAGCGAUAUGGAAUGAUCACAGUGUGGUAACAGCGCCAUGAACGCAGACUCUCUUCUCUACGCAGACGGUUCUCUCAACAAAUAAGUAUCCUGUUGUCCAGGAUGGGUCUUCGAAUGACGCCGUCCUCGCGAAGGAGAAUGCAACUACAAAUGAGCAAACAAUUUUUCGGAGAAGCAUAGCACGGUAUGCACUCACCAAAGUAUGGCAUACAUCGUAGUUCGCUGUAUGCCCUUAAGAUGAGAAACAGCAAAUACGCAAUGUAAAAGCCGCCCACUGUGAAGAAGAAGACCUUGAAGCCCUGG